GAUCGCUUAGCUCAGCGGUAGAGCGGCAGACUUCGAUUCUGCAGGCCGCGGGUUCGAGCCCCGUAGUGAUCU
rnacentral:tRNA from 1 species